rnacentral:rRNA from 1 species
CAAUAGCGUAUAUUAAAGUUGUUGCGGUUAAAAAGCUCGUAGUUGGAUUUCUGCCGAGGACGUCCGGUCCGCCCUCUGGGUGAGUACAUGGCACGGCCUGGGCAUCUUCUUGGGGAACGUAUCUGCACUUGACUGUGUGGUGCGGUAUCCAGGACUUUUACUUUGAGGAAAUUAGAGUGUUUCAAGCAGGCAUUUGCCUUGAAUACAUUAGCAUGGAAUAAUAGAAUAGGACUUUGGUUCUAUUUUGUUGGUUUCUAGGACCGAAGUAAUGAUUAAUAGGGACAGUUGGGGGCAUUAGUAUUUAAUUGUCAGAGGUGAAAUUCUUGGAUUUAUGAAAGACUAACUACUGCGAAAGCAUUUGCCAAGGAUGUUUUCAUUAAUCAAGAACGAAAGUUAGGGGAUCGAAGACGAUCAGAUACCGU